UUAAGCAGGGUGGCCACACAAAAUCGAAAUUGAAAUUCCCGCAUUUUUCCCGACUUUUUCCCGCAUUAAUUUUGAAUUUUCCCGAUUUUGUAUGGAGCUUGUAAAACAUCCAAUAAUCCAAUUUUUAGUGGAUCUGUAAAACUGAAAUAUUUACAGUGUAAUUGUGAUACAUACUGUGACAGUUUUACAAUAUUUUAGAGACGUUAACUUCAAAAUAAAUUUACAUGUAACAUAUUUGAAAUUUGCUUCUUGUUCCGGAUGCCUUGUAAAGUAAACCUAUGCUUGAAAAUAUGUGUUUCGAAAUUCCCAAAAGAUUUUUGUGAACUCCUUCAGUAAUGCUUGAUGAAGUUCCAAUAAAAAAAAUCUAGUCGGCUAACUGAAAUACUUUUUAGUGAAUUCUUUAUAGGAGUUUUUUACGCUAUCCCAGGAAUUCUAAAGGUGUGGAGGACGGCAUUCUUGACAUAAUUCUGUUAUAAUUCCUAUAAGCCGAAUUAUUGGAGUGUUUACUAGUGAAAUUCUUGGAGGAAUUUCCUAACCAAUUUUCUUGGAAGGUGUUUAUUGUAAAAAUACUGAAUAAAUGUCUGUGACAUUUUCUCACAUACUCUGCUGGUAACAAAUCAGGAAAUUAUUGGAAUAAUUGAGUUAACAAAUAAAUAUUAAAAAAAUAAGUUAUAUUAACAGGUUUAUUUUUAAACCACCAGAUUCAAAAUUAUCCGAAAUCCAUUAGAUUACACAUAUUUAGUAUGCAUAUUUGAUAUUUCGUAUGCAUAAAGGAUUUUCACGAGAACUCGCUGGCGAUUUAUGUCAAAACUCUUGGAAUUUUUCUAAAGAAACUGACUUCUGAAGAUACAUUCAGAUAAAAAAAAAUACAGAACUCAGAUAAAUCUCUCUUGGACUUUCUCAAAAUACCUAUAAAUAAUUCCUGUUUAGUGGGAAUUGGUUAUUUUCAAAAAAGAAAAUAUGAGUUUUGUUAUGAGAGCACUAACAAUGAACUCCUUAGCGGAAUUUUCCUCAAAUUUCUAAAAUAUCUGCGGAUUUUUAUGAAAAGUUUUCUAUUCAUUAGCAAUUUCUAGCUGAAAUUCUCAAACAAAACUUUGACAUUUCAGACGAAAUUUGUAAGGCUCAUUUUAGAUAUUUAAGGAAAACAUCGAUAUUCUGGGAUUAAUUUCUAAUCCCAUUGUUGAAAAACUUUCCAAGUAAGUUGAAUAUUGAUUUUCCAUAACCAAUCAAAAGUGCACACUUCCCUAGAAACACCAGGUUUCCGGGAUAUCCGAAGGAUUGCCAUUGUACCCAAAAUCCCUAGAACCAUGUUCAAAUAUUCUUGUUCUGCAAAAUCAUGAAGUGUGAUAUGUCACACAAGCUAGGUUCCAAAAAUGAUCAAAAAGUGGUCACUAUCCUGUGAGCACCAGGUUUCCGGAACAUCCGGAAACGUGGCCAGUUUACUUGAAAUCCCUAGAAACAAUUUACAAUACUCCUGUUUUGCAAAAUCAUGAAGUUUGAUGUGUUGCAAGCUAGUUUUCGAAGGCGAGUUAAAGGUUGCACCACUGGUAACACCAGGACUUCCUUCAGUAGACAUUGAAUUCAUAAAAGAAAAUCUAGAGAAUCCUGUCUCCUGGUUUUCAACUUGCAAUUUUGCUUCCGUUGUAAUAUCAGUGCGGAUUCUAGGUAUUCAUUUAUGAAUUAAUCCAGUAAUUCUACAAAUCGUUACACAGAAAACACUUCAAGAGUUUCUUCCAGUAUAUCGUCAUCAAUUUAUAAUUCCAUGAAACAACCACCAGAGACUCUUCAGAGACGGCAGAAUUAUUAUUGCUUUUAGUAAUUAUUCCAAAUUUUUUUAAGAUUGCCAAAUUGUUAGUGUGAUGGAUUUUGUCAUUGCAGGGAGCUUUUCCAUGAACUGAAAUUUCUAGAAAUACCGGUAAAAACUCCAACAAAACAAUAGUUUCAGGAAGUCCUCCACUACGAAUUAAGGAAGUGUUAUAAAAAGUUCCAAUAAAAACAUUAAUUGAAACUUGUCCUAAAGCUCAGCCAGAUACUUCGGCAAAAAAUCUUAACUGCUACGGGGAACUACUACAGAAAAAAAAAAUCUGAAUAGAAUCUAAAACUAUGUUACUAAUUUCUCCAUUUUGAUAAAUACAAAUGUAAAAAGCUAAAAAAUUUCAACGAAAAUGUUGGAGAAGUAUUUUAUGGCAUUUCUGACAAAAUCAUCAAAAUUUGGCUGCCAAAAUUAUUUUUUUGCGAUACUUUUUUCACGUUUUUUUUUUUAAUUUCAUAACUUCAUUUUAAAAAAUUGUGAUUUUAAAUAUGUUUGUGCCCAAAUUGAAUUCGAGCAUCCGGACAAUAAAAACCUGUUACUCGGAUAGUCUCUAUCGAACAAGAAAUCACUCGUUAUUCAGAAACCAACGCUCAUCUGGAUUUAGAAGUCCGUGAAACUUCCGAAACUGUGUAAGAAUCUGGAUUUGAAGUGAGUCAAGGUUCAAGUAAAUCUAGGUUUGAGGAGGCGUUACACAUAAUUUUAAAAAUUCCCGAUCAUAAACAAAAUUCCCGACUUAUUCCCGCAUAUUUCCCGAUGAAUUUCAAUUCCCGACUUUUUCCCGCAUUUCCCGAAUUUCCCGAGUCUGUGGCCACCCUGUUUAAGGCUCAAUAGAGAAUCGCAUACCUUCCAAAACCAAAAAACAAUAAUCCUCAAAAUGCCAAGCAAGUCAUAGAAAGAAAAAACGCCCGAUUUUUUAUUUUGUCAAUUAUAACAAACGGAAACUUCCAACUUCACCGACUCACCAGUCACCCGGAAAAAAUGUUCCUUCAGUUCUGGAAAAUAUAUUAUCCCCAAUUAAGCCCUUAAUCGAAUUGUCCGCGUGGUCUUGUAGUACCCCUGCUAGGUAAGAACCAGUCAUUGCCAUACAUAUUAAAUGCUAGACAUGACCCCAUGGAUAGCAUUUGCAUAUGUAAAAGCUUUGCUGAUGUGACUUUCCUAUUAGGCAAUUCUCUCAUCUCAUGUUUGUCUUCAAAACCUUGUCAAGCUUAGAAAAUUGAAGCUAAUAAACAAUACAUUACAAAGUUCGAAUUCCCAUAGAAUGAGAUCAUUCAUUCGCACUACAACACCAUAGGAGAUAAUGUCGCAUUGGCUGAUUACAGUACAAAUGCGAAAAAUCUCCCUUUUCCCCCUAUCCGCAACCCGGGGACGCGCCCUGUUGGAUUUCGAAACCCUCGGAGAAUAUUACAAACCUUCAAUGGCAUUCCCAUACACUAACCCACAUUGUCCAUUCAGGGGUCUGACUGGGCCUAUUACCCUCCCUCAGUUUGUAAUAUUCUCACCAACUUGGAAUUAUAUUUUGCCGGCACAUAAAUGACUUCGACAAAUGUUCGAUAUACUAUGCAGCAUCAUGAUCAGUAUAACUAUAUCAGAUGACUUGAAGGGCCCAUAUAGCCGAGGCGGUAAACGCACGGGUAUUCAGCAUGACCAUGCUGAGGGUGACGGGUUCGAUUCCCGGUCGGUCCAGGAUCUUUUCGUAAAGGAAAUUUCCUUGACUUCCUUGGGCAUAGAGUAUCUUCGUGCCUGCCACACGAUAUACACAUGCAAAAUGGUCAUUGGCAGAGGAAGCUCUCAGUUAAAAACUGUGGAAGUGCUCAUUGAACACUAAGCUGAGAAGCAGGCUUUGUCCCAGUGAGGACGUUACGCCAAGAAGAGGAGAGGAGAAUUAAAUUGACAUUUUCAUGCGUAGUGCAAACGCAAACAUUAUGUGUUCCUGUGAUAGUCAAUAGUUUACAUUGCCUUGGCCGGAGGCUUGCAAAUGAUGAAAACCCUAUUUUUACAUUGACGUACAUUUCAUUAAAGCGAUUAAAAGCUUCUCUUAAUGUCAUCAUUAACAAUCUUUUCUGAACAGCUAAUCUCUUAUUUCCUGUCUUUACGCUAACAAAAUCUCUUUGGCCUGGCAUUGCACGGCUUAUAUCAU